AUGUGGGUCAUUGCCAGAGAAACCAUGUUUGUCCUGGAUGCCUGGGUGGCUCAGUUGGUUGGGCGUCUGCCUUCAGCUCAGGUCAUGAUCCCAGAGUCCUGGGAUGGAGCCCCACAUCGGGUUUCCUGCUUAGUGGGGAGCCUGCUUCCUCCCUCCCGUCCCCCCCCCCAUGCUUUUUUUCUCUCAUGCUCACUCUCUCUCUCAAAUAAAAACAUAAAAUCUUUAAAACAAAAACAACCAAAAGACCCCAUGUCUGUCCUUCAGAGUUUGCUCAAAGGCACACACCAAAGAGCACGAAGUUCAGAGUUUAUAGACACUAUCAGAAGGAAAUAUCAGUUGGGAAAUAAAAAGGAUGGGGGAAAAUGUACAAUGCCACAGGGUAAGGAAACUGCUUUUUGGUACUUCCCUUUGGGUAAAGUGCAAGCUAAUUUUGCUUUUUUCGUUUGUUUUUUUCAGGAUUUACCAGAAGUAGUCAGUAUGUUAGAAUCUGUGGAGAUCAAGGACUCAAGUGAUGUGCAUCCAAUGAUGGACUUCAGAGCUUUGGGAGCACACAGAGGAAGGGGAAGCAGCCACCAUUUAUUUGGAGGUGACUUAAAUAAUUUCUGCAAUGAAGACAGACUGUGAAAGAAGGGGGAGCUGUGCUAAUAAAAGUAGCAAAUAUUGGGCA
rnacentral:lncRNA from 12 species